rnacentral:rRNA from 1 species
AGAUUCAAUAUUGAAGCAAUUCAAUGUGCACUUCUCGCUUAGUAAGACGCUGUGAUCCAUUAGAAAUUGAUCGUUCCAACGAUUGUUUGGCUAUCAAUAGGCCGACGUAAAGUUCAUCAAAGAAAUGAUUCGAUCCUUUAUGGUUGGGUGUAUUGUUUGGUGAGUGCGUCGUGUUCUGUGUAGCUGUCUGAUGGAUUUUAAUGGUCAUAUCAUUGAUGUCGGCAUCACUCAGGAUAUGUGCCCGAUCAACAGUGGUUAAAUUUGGGAUACCUUUUGGACCCGUCUUGAAACACGGACCAAGGAGUCUAUCUAGUAUGCGAGUAAAUGAGUAUAUGAAACUUAUUUGCGUAAAAAACUUGACUGUUAUGGGAUUACGAGUUUUACCGGUCGUUCCUCCAUCCCGGGGUAUUUCUAUCAACAUAUGCAGCAAUGUAUAUGGGAAAUAUACCAUGAGCAUACUGGAUAUGACCCGAAAGAUGGUGAACUAUGCUUGAUCAGGUUGAAGUCAGGGGAAACCCUGAUGGAGGACCGAAGCAGUUCUGACGUGCAAAUCGAUUGUCAGAAUUGAGCAU